UACAGAGGUGGCAAGCGUUGUUCGGAAUUACUGGGCGUAAAGAGCGCGUAGGCGGCUUGGUAAGUCGGAUGUGAAAUCCCGGGGCUCAACCCCGUGACUGCACCCGAAACUGCCCGGCUAGAGGUAGGUAGGGGAGAUCGGAAUUCCUGGUGUAGCGGUGAAAUGCGCAGAUAUCGGGAGGAACACCGGUGGCGAAGGCGGAUCUCUGGGCCUUACCUGACGCUCAGGCGCGAAAGCUAGGGGAGCAAACAGG
rnacentral:rRNA from 1 species